rnacentral:misc_RNA from 1 species
GCAAACUUGGUCAUUUAGAGGAAGUAAAAGUCGUAACAAGGUUUCCGUAGGUGAACCUGCGGAAGGAUCAUUAUUGAUUUUAAAGGAUGUGCUGGCUCUUCUUCUGGGGGGCAACGUGCACUCCUUGAAUCCAAUUAUCCACCUGUGCACUCUCUGUAGACUGAGGGGGGGAGGUUCAUAUUCUUCCCUUCCCUUGUCUAUGUCUCUUCACAAACACUAUAAAUUUGCAUGUGUCUUGUGUAAUUAUCAAUUACAAUGAAUACAACUUUCAACAAUGGAUCUCUUGGUUCUCGCAUCGAUGAAGAACGCAGC